UACGUAGGGUGCGAGCGUUGUCCGGAAUUAUUGGGCGUAAAGAGCUCGUAGGCGGUCUGUUGCGUCCGCUGUGAAAACUCGGGGCUUAACCCCGAGCCUGCAGUGGAUACGGGCAGACUAGAGGUAGGUAGGGGAGAAUGGAAUUCCCGGUGUAGCGGUGAAAUGCGCAGAUAUCGGGAGGAACACCGGUGGCGAAGGCGGUUCUCUGGGUCUUACCUGACGCUGAGGAGCGAAAGCGUGGGGAGCGAACAGG
rnacentral:rRNA from 1 species